AAAUACAUUGUUGUUUUCAGCUCGCCCCCACGUUUUUCUUUCCCGCCUUCUCAUUCACGAGACACAUUGGAAAAGCUGAUGAUCAACCAGAAACUUCCUUUCCUUGAUGGUCCUUUGCCCAGUGAAGCUUGCUCCUUAUCUAAAGUAGGAUGUGCUGCUUCAAAAACACCGAUGCUCAACACCCCGCAGGAUUACGAAGCGGAACCACCUCCUGUGUUGAGCAAUGGCGCCUCAGCAGGGGCUAUAGACGGUAUGUCAGAUGUGGACCAAAAGCACAGAGACAACCUGUCUCAUCACCAGGACCUCCGUGAUCUUAAUGACGCCAUCGAUGUUUUGGACUCUGAAGCCAAGGAGGGAAAGCCGCAGCACCACUGAUCAGCUCUGAGAACUGUGUUCGAUGAACCAGGCGCUCGUGGUGGUGAGGCGUAAGGGUGCUGUGCCCCCGCGAGGGUGUAGACCACCUAAACCAUUUACAGCUGAGUGUGAGUACGUGUGUUUGCAGGGAGCGGUGCUCGCUGUAGAGAAGACGGUCUGCGUUUGGUUUGGUUCACAUGGUUUUGCAGCUAAAAUGAUGAAGAUGCAUACAGAGCUGCCCAGAAAGCUACCUUGAGUUAGCAUAAACCUUAUUUUUCAGUGGAAACACGAUGUGGUUUUAAGGUUUAUGACUGCCUGCCAGCACUGGUAUUUCAACCUGAAAGAAAUCUUGGCCAAUUAACGUGGGGCUUAGGAGAUGUGCAGUGUUUAUAACUGGAGUAGGAAGGAUGCAAUCCACUUAUUCUCAGUGGUGGUGCAAGGGCAUCUUAAAAUGAUAAAAAAUUUCAGUUCAUUUUAAAAUUAAUUAAAAAAAAAAAAAAUUCUUAGCUGUGAACGAAUCUCUGCAUGGAUCCUCACCUUGUGACAAACUGAUUCAUUUUUUGUUUUCUAUGCAUAUUUGAUAAACAAAAACAAAUUCCCCUGUGCCUUUUUAUAGAGACCGUUUUAAUGUCUAGCCAUGCAACGUACUAUUUUUAUUAUUGUAGUGUAGAGUGUAGUAUUUGGUCAUCUUUGUAGUCAGUAUUUUUAAACAAGUUUUUUUUUAUCUGCUGCUAGCUUCUCCAGGACCUUUGCCGAUCCCCUGAGUUUAGUAGCUUCUAAGCCAACCUUUCAAAAAAUAAGCUUUUACGAAUGUGAUUUACUGAUUGUGAGAGGGCAGCAAGCCACAAAGACAGCCUGUAAGACAUGAAUUUUUCACAAAGGGAGGAUUAGAAAUGAGAAGAUAGGAAAAAAAUUAUAUGGAACUUUUCUCUCUUGCUCUAUGAUCUUGGUUAAAUUGAAGCAAGAAAGUAACUCUUUGUUCUAAGCUGGAAUCGAUGUGCUUGCCUCACAUCCAUCUGUGAGGCAGUAAUUACAGAUGAGGUGUGUUCUAUUAUUGAAAUGGGGCCUAAAAUGAUUACUUGACAUCACAUGCUGAGUGAUGAUAGUGAAUGUUAUCUUGGAUGUUAAAAUUAUGUGAAUCUUAGAGAUGUUUUGUCUGUACUGCCAAGAUGUGGGGACAUGAACAGUCUCUCUCAUGGCAAUGAACUCUGCAAUUUUGUGAAGCUGGUGACAAAACAUAACUUGGGAUGUGACCCCUUAAUGGAACAAGAAGUGGACGUCUUGGCUCAUGGCUGUGGCUCCAGCUUGGAUUCAUUCCAGUGCUUGUUAACACUACUUGGUUUCUUUAAACUGCAGUAAUCUCAGCUGGAGAUACCAGUUCAAAGUUGCAGGUUUAAAACAGAGACGUACAUGACAUUUAUACAGAAGUCUUGUGAAGAAACAAGGGCUUGUCUCCCCAGGGAAAUGGAUGGCCCAGGAAAGCUGUUCCACAGUACUUGUUCUGGACAAGCUUCCAGAGAUGCGCUUAAUUGCAGAGUCCCUUUGUGUGGCUUAAUUCAAGAUGCUUUUCUGCUUCCUUUUGGAUCCUGUUGUUUAAUUUAAAUGCUGCCAUUGGGUCUUAAAGUCAGUUUUUCUCUUUUAUAAAAUUUUGAAACAGAAAAUAUUUUCUAAGUUAGCCCUCCCAGUCUACAAUAAAAAGUAAAAAGGUUCCAUUAUAGCAUCGUAAAAUGCAAUAGCCAUCAUUCGUGUGCUUAUAACCGAUGGUGAAAUGACUAGGCUACUUUCAGUGUUCAAGACAGAGAAGAAAAAAGCGACCUCCCGAGUCUCACACUUUGGGUAGGAAAAUAUAUAUUUUAUUAAGAAUAUCAAAAGACCCAGGAAAAAGGGCAAUACCUGAGAACACAGAGUUUCUUCAAUGCCUAGAAUGGCAAAGAGAAACUUUUUUUUAAUGUUGCAGGUUUUUCAAUCUUAAAGCAAGUAAUACAGUUCUUUUCAAGGUAGGCGCCAGAGAACUACAAUGAGCAUUUGAUAUAAAAACUAAGCACAUAAAAUACUGAACCAGAUAUGCUUAAGCAGAAGAUGUUAGAAAUUUGUUGUGUGGGUAUGCAUCAAAAAUACUGCAUCGUGCAACAGCUAUAUGUUUUACUGGGAAGGACGCGCAUUUCUGGAUGCAUCUUUUCUUAAUCUCAAGAUGAGUAUCUGCUGUUGAGUCUUUGCUCCUAAAAAGACAUCUGCUAAGCUCCUAAUGUUGUUAGUCAGUCUACCAGCCUUUUAAGUUUGCCAUAUCCAUGUACUCCUCAAGGGAAGAGAUUGCACCAGAAGUCUUAAUCCGCCUGCUCUGGAUACCCAGGAAUCUGCUGUAGGUUUCCACUGGAGGGUGCUGGGGAGGUCAUUUCCCUUUGCUUCUUUGUCGUGUAAAAGCUUGAUUUCACACGUGCACUUUGCAGUUUGCAGCCUGUUCCAUAUGGACCAAUCGAGCAACCCUGUCUUUCCUUUCUCAGUGGUAGAAGAGUGUAGUGGACAGUACGCAUGGCUUCUUAAACAGGGAACUCUACAAUGGUAAAUGAGACCAUGACGGACACUUUAGGACCAGUUAUUCUAGAUGCCAUCAGUUCUUUUAAUGUGUUCUCUAAUGAAAAUUAGAGAUACAGAACAGUGCAGACUUUUGACUGACCACUGAAAGAUUUAGACAUACCAUUGGUUAAUCUUUGUAUAAAAACAUUUUGCAGAAGGUUUCUGUAAAUGUUUGCACGUUGCAUUGUCUCUUGAAUUGCCAUAGGUUACCUUGAAAAAAGUAUAAUAAUCUUUGCUGAUCCCUAAAACGUGAUGCUGACAUCUCCACAAAUCCUUCCUGACUACAAUGUUACUAUGGGUGCAUAUAACCCUGAAAAGAUUACUUCAUACACUGAAAGUAUUAGUAAGCUUUUAGUAAUCUGGCUGCUUUUGACUUGAGUAGCAAAACAAUGGAUGACUUCAUACUUUGAAAUGCAAAACCUAGCCAAAAAAAAAAAAAA